UCCACGCCGUAAACAAUGCGCACUGGGUCGGGGAGGUUUGACGCCUUCCUGGCCGAAGCAAAAGUGUUAAGUGCGCCGCCUGGGGAGUACGGUCGCAAGGCUAAAACUCAAAGGAAUUGACGGGGGCUCACACAAGCGGUGGAGCAUGUGGCUUAAUUCGAAGCAACGCGAAGAACCUUAUCCCAGGCUUGACAUCCAGGUAUUAGUCCUAUGAAAGUAGGAUGACAGUCGCAAGACCGGAACUUGGACAGGUGCUGCAUGGCUGUCGUCAGCUCGUGCUGUGAAGUGUCGGGUUAAGUC
rnacentral:rRNA from 1 species